rnacentral:tRNA from 1 species
GGGGUUGUAGCUCAGUGGUAGAGCACUUGUCUAGCACAUGUGAGGCCCUGGGUUUGAUCCUCAGCACCA